rnacentral:lncRNA from 1 species
AGUUACAAGGUAUCAGCUAUCGGCUGAUUUAUUUGAAAUCCUCCCUGGAACGCAUCAGAAUUUUAAUUGUUUCCUGAAUUUCUGCAACAGAAGAAGAAUGCAUGUCACUGGAAAAUGCCCUGGGUCCCUACUGACUGCAACUAACUCCCAGUGACUGAUUUCCAAUUGAUACAGAUGAGGCCUGAGAGGCGGUACACACAGAUACGCCCACGGGAGCCCAGCAGCCCAGUAAUGACUAAGGGAGAUGAUGGGGGAGACCAAACACUGUUUUCCAACCGCUCCUCAUGUGCACUGUUCUUCUCAACAGAUGUAACCGCCGGGGCCCGACGUGGAUGCUAGCGGGAACAGAUGGUGCCACGGGGCAGCUCUCUGCUCCCUGCUCCCUGGGUUGGGCUCUGCAAGAUGGAGACAAGGGCUUGUGUGUGCCGUGUGCAGGGCUGGGGCGGGGCUGUGUUUUCCAGCAGCAGACUUCCACGUAUGAACGCCAUGAAACAUGUCAGGACUUUCUCUGAGUCUAUGAAGACAGAGAUGGCAUCUGCUCCCAGUGGGAAGCCCUUCUAACCAGUAAUACUAUAAAAUUUCAUGAUUCU